AACGAACGCUGGCGGCAUGCCUAACACAUGCAAGUCGAACGAACCCUUCGGGGUUAGUGGCGCACGGGUGCGUAACGCGUGGGAAUCUGCCCUUGGCUUCGGAAUAACAGUUAGAAAUGACUGCUAAUACCGGAUGAUGUCUUCGGACCAAAGAUUUAUCGGCCAGGGAUGAGCCCGCGUAGGAUUAGGUAGUUGGUGGGGUAAAGGCCUACCAAGCCGACGAUCCUUGGCUGGUCUGAGAGGAUGAUCAGCCACACUGGGACUGAGACACGGCCCAGACUCCUACGGGAGGCAGCAGUGGGGAAUAUUGGACAAUGGGCGCAAGCCUGAUCCAGCAAUGCCGCGUGAGUGAUGAAGGCCUUAGGGUCGUAAAGCUCUUUUACCCGGGAUGAUAAUGACGGUACCGGGAGAAUAAGCUCCGGCUAACUCCGUGCCAGCCGCCGCAGUAAAAC
rnacentral:rRNA from 1 species